GGGGUUGUUCCUCAGUGGUAGAGGACUUGCCUGGCACGUAUGAGGCCCUGGGUUCCAUCCUCAGCACCA
rnacentral:tRNA from 1 species